rnacentral:rRNA from 1 species
CACGGCGCACGGGUGCGUAACACGUGGGUAAUCUGCCCUCUGAUGGGGAAUAACCCCCCGAAAGGCGAGCUAAUUCCGCAUAACAUUCCUUGGACUCCGGUCCGGGGAUUCAAAGGCGUAAGUCGUCGGAGGUGGAGCCCGCGCUCGAUUAGCUAGUUGGUGAGGUAAUGGCUCACCAAGGCUAUGAUCGUUAGCUGGUCUGAGAGGAUGGCCAGCCACACUGGAACUGAAACACGGUCCAGACUCCUACGGGAGGCAGCAGUGGGGAAUCUUGCACAAUGGGCGAAAGCCUGAUGCAGCGACGCCGCGUGGGGGAUGAAGCUUCUCGGAGUGUAAACCCCUUUCGACCGGGACGAAUACCUCGCAAGAGGGGUGACGGUACCGGUAUAAGAAGCCCCGGCUAACUACGUGCCAGCAGCCGCGGUAAGACGUAGGGGGCCAGCGUUGCUCGGAAUUACUGGGUGUAAAGGGUUCGUAGGCGGUGUGGCAAGUCGGGAGUGAAAUCUCUGGGCUCAACCCAGGGGCUGCUUCCGA